rnacentral:rRNA from 1 species
AUUGAACGCUGGCGGCAGGCCUAACACAUGCAAGUCGAACGAGUGGCGGACGGGUGAGUAAUGUCUGGGAAACUGCCUGAUGGAGGGGGAUAACUACUGGAAACGGUAGCUAAUACCGCAUACCAUCAGAUGUGCCCAGAUGGGAUUAGCUAGUUGGUGGGGUAACGGCUCACCAAGGCGACGAUCCCUAGCUGGUCUGAGAGGAUGACCAGCCACACUGGAACUGAGACACUGUCCAGACUCCUACGGGAGGCAGAAGUGGGUAAUAUUGCACAAUGGGCGCAAGCCUGAUGCAGCAAUGCAUCGUGUAUGAAGAAGGCGUUCGGGUUGUAAAGUACUUUCAGCGGGGAGGCGUAACCCGCUGAAGAAGCACCGGCUAAAUACGUGCCAGCCGCCGCGGUAAUAC